GCGACUUCGAGACUGAGGGGUGAUCAUCCAUCCCGGACGAGCCCCCAAAUGAAAGGACCCCCAACAGGGGAGACCCCUCCUCAAGUCACAGGUGACGGCAUAACCCCAAUCAGUCACGA
rnacentral:pre_miRNA from 1 species